rnacentral:snRNA from 1 species
UUGCUCACUUUGAAGCACAUAUCCUAAAAUUGGAAUGAUAAAGAUAUUAGCGUGGCCCAUGCGCAAGGGUGACACAAAUUCAUGAAGCAUUCCGUAUUUUA